GAUGAACGCUGGCGGCGUGCCUAACACAUGCAAGUCGAGCGAUUCUCUUCGGAGAAGAGCGGCGGACGGGUGAGUAACGCGUGGGUAACCUGCCCUGUACACACGGAUAACAUACCGAAAGGCAUGCUAAUACGAGAUAAUAUGCGUUUAUCGCAUGGUAGAAGUAUCAAAGUUUUUGCGGUACGGGAUGGACCCGCGUCUGAUUAGCUAGUUGGUAAGGUAACGGCUUACCAAGGCGACGCUCAGUAGCCGACCUGAGAGGGUGAUCGGCCACAUUGGAACUGAGACACGGUCCGAACUCCUACGGGAGGCAGCAGUGGGGAAUAUUGCACAAUGGGCGAAAGCCUGAUGCAGCAACGCCGCGUGAGCGAUGAAGGCCUUCGGGUCGUAAAGCUCUGUCCUCAAGGAAGAUAAUGACGGUACUUGAGGAGGAAGCCCCGGCUAACUACGUGCCAGCCGCCGCAGUAA
rnacentral:rRNA from 1 species